GAGUUUGAUCCUGGCUCAGAUUGAACGCUGGCGGUAUGCCUAACACAUGCAAGUCGAACGGACUCUUCGGAGUUAGUGGCGCACGGGUGCGGAACGUAUAGCUAACAUGCCCUUUAGAGGGGGAUAACAGUUGGAAACGACUGCUAAUACCCCAUACUCCUUCUCAUCAUAAGACUGCAAGGGAAAUACUUAUAGCUCGAAGAUUGGCCUGUACGGUAUCAGCUUGUUGGUGAGGUAAUGGCUCACCAAGGCACAGACGCCUAACUGGUUUGAGAGGAUGAUCAGUCACACUGGAACUGAGACACGGUCCAGACUCCUACGGGAGGCAGCAGUGGGGAAUAUUGCACAAUGGACGAAAGUCUGAUGCAGCAACGCCGCGUGGAGGAUGACACAUUUCGGUGCGUAAACUCCUUUUAUAUGGGAAGAUAAUGACGGUACCAUAUGAAUAAGCACCGGCUAACUCCGUGCCAGCAGCCGCGGUAAUACGGAGGGUGCAAGCGUUACUCGGAAUCACUGGGCGUAAAGCGCGCGCAGGCGGCUUGAUAAGUUGGAUGUGAAAGCCUACGGCUCAACCGUAGAACUGCAUCCAAAACUGUCAGGCUAGAGUGUGGGAGAGGAAGAUGGAAUUAGUUGUGUAGGGGUAAAAUCCGUAGAGAUAACUAGGAAUACCAAAAGCGAAGGCAAUCUUCUGGAACACUACUGACGCUGAGGCGCGAAAGCGUGGGGAGCAAACAGGAUUAGAUACCCUGGUAGUCCACGCAGUAAACGAUGAAUGUUAGUCGUCGGGAUGCAAGUCAUUUCGGUGAUGCAGUUAACACAUUAAACAUUCCGCCUGGGGAGUACGGUCGCAAGAUUAAAACUCAAAGGAAUAGACGGGGACCCGCACAAGUGGUGGAGCAUGUGGUUUAAUUCGAAAAUACGCGAAGAACCUUACCUAGCCUUGACAUAUUUUAGAAUCCUCCGAAACAUUGGAGUGGAGUGCCUUCGGGAGCUAAUUUACUGGUGCUGCACGGCUGUCGUCAGCUCGUGUCGUGAGAUGUUGGGUUAAGUCCCGCAACGAGCACAACCCCUAUCCUUGGUUGCCAGCACGUAAUGGUGGGAACUCCAGGGAGACUGCCGGUGACAAACCGGAGGAAGGUGGGGAUGACGUCAAGUCAUCAUGGCCCUUAUGACCAGGGCUACACACGUGCUACAAUGGGCAGUACAGACGGGCGCAAUACCGCGAGGUGGAGCCAAUCCCAGAAAACUGCUCGUAGUCCGGAUCGGAGUCUGCAACUCGACUCCGUGAAGUCGGAAUCGCUAGUAAUCGCGAAUCAGAAUGUCGCGGUGAAUACGUUCCCGGGCCUUGUAAACACCGCCCGUCACACCAUGGGAGUGGAUUGCAAAAGAAGUAGGUAGCUUAACCUUCGGGAUGGCGCUUACCACUUUGUGCUUCAUGACUGGGGUGAAGUCGUAACAAGGUAGCC
rnacentral:rRNA from 1 species